UAGGGAAUAUUGGACAAUGGACGCAAGUCUGAACCAGCCAUGCCGCGUGAAGGAUGAAGGCGUUCUGCGUUGUAAACUUCUUUUAUCUGGGAAGAAACCUACGAUUUCUAUUGUAGCCGACGGUACCAGAGGAAUAAGCGCCGGCUAACUUCCGUGC
rnacentral:rRNA from 1 species